CAAAAUGUAGCUUAACAAAAGCCUCUCGCUUACACCGAGAAAAUGUCCGUUUAACCCGAACCGUUUUG
rnacentral:tRNA from 1 species